CUCCCCCGUCUCGUUCUUUUUUUCUGCCUUCGUUUCAUAUCGUGGCGCCGCCCCUGCGAGGCCACGAUCCCGUCCCUCCCCCGCUUCCCUGUGAGGCCACGGGCACCGGCGCCCCCGCCGGACAUUGCGCCGUCGAGCCCGAUCCCUACCCCGCCCCUUCCCCACGAGCGCCGGCGACCCUGUCCCUACCCCGCCCCUUCCCCACGAGCACCGGCAACCCUACAAUCAUGGCGCCCCUGCCUACACCGAUCUGUGGUCGCUCUGCCCGCCGGCGUUCUCGCCGACGCCGUCGCGCCCGACCCGUGCAACCACGCUACUGCCCGCGACUGCGCGGCCUCCACCGAUCCGUGGCCUCCUCCCGCGAUCGGCAGGGCCUUCACCAUCACCAUUACCGUCGCCGUCGCGUUCGUCGCCAUGGACGGUGCGACGCCCCACUGCAGCAUUCCAGGGCAAGAACUCAUCAAUUCCCGUAGCCCAGGUGUAGUGAGGCAAAAAAAAAAGGAAACAAAGUUUAGCAGGAGCUAGAGAAUGGCAACUUGAAUGCUUGAGCAGUGAGAGAUCCUUCCGGUUUUCCCUCACCAUCCAAGUUUAACCUGUUGAUCUACACACACAGGGCUUGCUACAACGUGUGGAAGUAGAUGGAUCCUCUGAACAAUACUAAAGGUAGUAUUCUUGGUUUCACUUCUCACCGUAAACGGGUAUUGUCGUUACAACCUUUUAUUGCCAGAGCAUCCUUAUGUUUGUGUUGGUCUAGAGUUGAUGAAUUGCUGAUUUGGAGCAGUCCAGUUGAUGCUGGCUUCCCAGGUCAUAUAAUCACUUGACUAAUAGAAAAUGGCACAGAUAGGACUAUGGACUUUAUAUCUUUGAAAGUUUAAAUACUGUCACUUUUUUUAUCCUUGCCAACAGAUCAUGCUUCUGGUUGCCGACCCCUUCGAGAAGAUCGACAAGAUCAGAAAUGGGAGAUGUGUGUUUCUCUACACAGCUCAUUGAAGGUGAUGGGAUCUUCAAUGUCUCUGAAUUGGAGAACUUCAUGAAGGAAGCUAGAUUGGGUGAAUGCAGGCUCUCCUAUGCUGUUAUGUCAAUAAUGGACCCGCAAAGUAGUGGGAAAAGUACACUUCUUAAUCAUCUUUUUGGCACCAAUUUUAGGGAGACAGCUGCUUUCAAAAGGAAGCUCACAGACUACCAAAGGUAUAUGGUUGGCAAAGGCUGAAAACAUUGAACUGAAAACAUUGAACCAUGCACCCUUGUAAUAGACUUGCAAGGACCUGAUGGAAGAGAGAGGGGAGAGGUAAUAUAAAUGAGCAUAUCUCCAAAUUAGAAGUGGUUUGAAUGUGUUUCUACUAGGUCGCAGAAACCAAACCAUACACUUGUUAUUGGUGCAGCAGGAUGAGAGCCUGGGGAUUGGGUUGAAUGCAAUGGCGAAAAACAUCAAAGGGGAACUUGACUAGCGUGCAACGCCAGAGGAGGUGAUGAAGUGCUGCUUUGCUUAUUUCUCUAUUGUUUUAAUUGAUGAAAAAAGUUGUUGAAGCCUUAUGAAAUCCCUGCUCUGCUCUGAAUGAUGCAAAACAUUAUAGCUUCCAAUAAAAUUGAUUAUUUUUAUAUUUUAAAUGUCUUAUGGUCCUGCACACUAGCUACCUAUUUGUUGAAAUCUUGCUAUGAGUACUGCGUUGUGCAAGCGUGGUGAGUUGGCACUGCGACAGCCAACAAUUGGUAUCACUUAAUUAGUGCCUCCUUUCAUAAUCAUUCUUGAAUAAGUACCUCCUGCCCUCCUUUCAUACUCUAAUGUGACCUUCCUGCUACACAAAUCAUAUUGGAUGAGUUGCAGGCUUACAUUCUUGAAAAAAGCCAUAGCUGACAACGAUCAUUGACUCCAUGAGCAGCCGCCUAGGGAAUUUUUACUGGUUUAUCUGGUGCCAUGUCUCGAAGUGUAUUUACCAUUUCGUAGGUGUGAAUUGUUCCUUGGUGGUCCUCAACAUUGGUGUUAAUCUAAGCACCUUGGUCUGUAGAAGAAGACACAAAAUAAGUUGUUUCAUUUAUUAUGUUAAUUAAGAAAUUGCUCUAACUAUCGCAAAGAAUUUGGUCCUUACUGUAAAAGGUCAACCGAUCGGGUUUGAAAGGAUUAAAGGGUGUAUAAAAGGAACCUGCAAAAAAAGGUUGAGAUAAAGAAUUUACAAUUGCAAAGUUCUCAUUUUUAUAUGCCAAAUCCUCUACUACCUGAAAGGACCUCAUCGUCAACCUCUAUGGAUUUCAGCCGCCCUCUGCCUUUGGCACUACGGAUGAGUGUCCAAAAGGCGUAUGGUACAAUAUGGAACAGGCGUAUGGUACAAUAAUAUGGAACAGGCGUAUGGUACAAUAAUUUACAUGUUUAUGCUUUGAGCACAUGAAAUGUAAAAUUUUAAUAAAGUGUUAAAAACAUAGUUUCAUGUUGUAACAAAUGGAUCAAUGUAAAUUUGAAUGAAGUGGUUUUGGUUAAGCUGAUA